UCUUGGAGAGUUUGAUCCUGGCUCAGGACGAACGCUGGCGGCGUGCUUAACACAUGCAAGUCGAACGAAGAGCGACGGAAGCUUGCUUCCAUCAAUCUUAGUGGCGAACGGGUGAGUAACGCGUAAUCAACCUGCCCUUCAGAGGGGGACAACAGUUGGAAACGACUGCUAAUACCGCAUACGAUCUGACCUCGGCAUCGAGGAUAGAUG
rnacentral:rRNA from 1 species